CCUACGGGGUGCUGCAGUGAGGAAUAUUGGUCAAUGGGCGUAAGCCUGAACCAGCCAAGUCGCGUGAGGGAUGAAGGUUCUAUGGAUCGUAAACCUCUUUUAUAAGGGAAUAAAGUGUGGGACGUGUCCUGUUUUGUAUGUACCUUAUGAAUAAGGAUUGGCUAACUCCGUGCCAGCAGCCGCGGUAAUACGGAGGAUCCGAGCGUUAUCCGGAUUUAUUGGGUUUAAAGGGUGCGUAGGCGGCCUUUUAAGUCAGCGGUGAAAGUCUGUGGCUCAACCAUAGAAUUGCCGUUGAAACUGGGAGGCUUGAGUAUGUUUGAGGCAGGCGGAAGGCGUGGUGUAGCGGUGAAAUGCUUAGAUAUCACGCAGAACCCCGAUUGCGAAGGCAGCCUGCCAAGCCAUGACUGACGCUGAUGCACGAAAGCGUGGGGAUCAAACAGGAUUAGAUACCCGAGUAGUC
rnacentral:rRNA from 1 species